rnacentral:sRNA from 1 species
GCCCCGGUGGCCGAAUGGGUAAUGCGGCCACCUGGUAGCGCCUUGGCGUGGGGACCCAAGGCGCGUGGGUUCGAAACCCGCAGGGGACAACAUUACAUCCGGAGCCAACUUUUCAGCUCCUUAAAUAAAGGAAUGUGAACUUGCCAAGUAGGUACCUUCGGGCGGACCUACUACCUGAUUUAGCUGAUUUUUCCUGGGCUGGGAACCUGUAUUGCAUGUACCAAAUCCUGUCUUUCAUUAAUUUUCCUAUGUUCCUGUUAUGUCUUGGCGUUGUUCAACACUAAGCAUUCCUCCUGUAUAACCAACUCUUGCCUGUAUUUAACAUCACACAAGGACUCGUCAUAAGCACUGCUUGCAUACGAGUAUAACGGAAGAAUAAUAAUAUAAUAAUAAUAACAAAAAUAUAGAAAUAAAAAUAGAAAAAUAAAAAUAAAAAUAAUAGUAAAAAUAUAAAAAUAAAAGUAAAAAUAA